CUAAGGAUAUCGGCAGAAAGCGCUGACAGGCCCGCAUCUUAUGGUGCCACCCUGUUGGAAGAGCUUCUUCCAUUCCAAAGAACAUUAGCCGCCGUCCUCAUGUCCCUUCAUCACUAGGUUAGUCCACAAGACGAGACAGCAUUCGCUGUCUUGGCUAUGGGCAAGCUCGGCCAGCGCGCGAAGCGCGCCUCUUGGGCGCAGUUCUGCUGCGUCUGACGGGCGCAGCGGGUGUGGGCCUGUAGCUCAGUUGGUUAGAGCGCACCCCUGAUAAGGGUGAGGUCGGUGGUUCGAAUCCACCUAGGCCCACCACACACAAGUGCGUUUGGGGCCUUAGCUCAGCUGGGAGAGCGGUUGCUUUGCAAGCAUCAGGUCAUCGGUUCGAUCCCGAUAGGCUCCACCAUUUCGCAGGAGACGAGACGAGGCAGCAAAGCUGCCGCGCACGUAUCCAAGAACGGCCAGCGCUACGGAGCGCGCCCAUAGGGCGCAGCUUCGCUGCGACUGACGGGCUCGCGGGCGACGCACCAUCAGCCACAACCUAGAGAUGAAGAGAAACGGUUCGCCGCACGAGAGUGCGGUGAUUGACGGGCACGCCCGUCGUAUUUGACAUUGUGAAUGGGUUUUUUAAAAUCGAUGCCGUGAGGUGCUCGAUUUUGGGGACGAGGAUUGCUUCGGCGGUUCGCAAGGCACUUCUGUGCAAGGCGAUCUGGACGAACGGUUCGAGGCUCUGAAUAUCGACAUCAUCAUAAUACAGGUUCCAUCAAAGUAUUACUUUGAUGGAUGCCUUAAAUAAUCUGGCUGAGAUUAUAAUCAUCCGCACCUGACAAAGGCCAACGCGCACUGCUCUGCCGAGUUGGUGACGUUCUUCGGAACGCACCCAGUGAUGUCGUUGGUGGUGUGGACUCUCAAGCGUGAGGUAAGGGCAAUUCGUGGAUGCCUUGGCACAUACAGGCGAUGAAGGACGUGGCACGCUGCGAUAAGCGUCGGUGAG
rnacentral:tRNA from 1 species